GUGGCACAAAUGGUUAAGUGCUUGACUAUUAAUCAGAAGGUUGGUGGUUCAAGUCCACCC
rnacentral:tRNA from 1 species